ensembl:rRNA 5S_rRNA 5S ribosomal RNA
GUUUACGACCACACCGGCCUGAGUACGCCUGAUCUCGUCUGAUCUCGGAAGCUAAGCAGGGUCGGGCCUGGUUAGUACUUGGAUGGGAGACUUCCUGGGAAUACCAGGUGCUGUAAGCU